UACGUAGGGGGCAAGCGUUGUCCGGAAUCAUUGGGCGUAAAGCGCGUGUAGGCGGCUUGGUAAGUCCGCUCUGAAAGCCCGGGGCUCAACCCCGGGAGGCGGGUGGAUACUGUCAAGCUCGAGUCCGGAAGAGGCGAGUGGAAUUCCUGGUGUAGCGGUGAAAUGCGUAGAUAUCUGGAGGAACACCGGUGGCGAAGGCGGCAUCCUGGACCAUUACUGACGCUGAGUGAGCGAAAGCCAGGGGAGCAAACGGG
rnacentral:rRNA from 1 species